rnacentral:lncRNA from 1 species
UCUUUCUGUAGAGGAAGAAAACUAUGUUCGAAUGAGUUUGUUAUUAACAGGAAUUUCUCCUCGUGCAGCCAGAACUUUCUUUGAUAGUGAAUUUGCUCCAGCAUGUUUAGAUUCUACAAUAAAGAAGGGGUAUAACAAAUUGUUUGACUUAAAAAAUAAGAAUAGAAUCAACCAAUCACAGUGGAACCUUCUGUAUCCCAGAUUUCCUGGUAAGUAAAGGAUUUUUUAUUUCAUUCUUCAAUGUAUCCUUUUCCUAGAUACCCAGAAAGUAUACACACAACUGCCUGCUUUAUCAUGUUCAUAUAUAUAUUGUUUAUAGCCAAACUUUCUGUUCCGAAAUAUUGAAAUAUGCAGUCAUUAAGUCCGUCUGGCAUGUGUCAAUUCCGUCCAUCCGCCCAUACAUCCCUUAAUUGGUUUCAGUUCUCUAAUUUUACUUUACCUGAAUAAAAUGCUAUGAAACAUAUACACAAUGCUUAUUACCACAAAAUUAAUUAUAAAACUACAAAACCCACAGCAUGUUUGAAUUUUGGUGGCAUCACGUUUACUGUUCUAGAGUUAUCAUAGUUAUGCCUCUUUAUGAAUGGAUUAUUUUGUUUCUGCUCUAUUAACUUAAUUUGCCUCAACCAAAUGCUUAUUACCACCAAACCACAUGAAAUUCAAAUUUGGAUAACGUCACAUUUAUUGUUCUGGAGUUAUGUCCCCUAUUUAUAAAGUAUAUAUAUUGUAUGCUUCUAAAAAUAGAUUAGCAUCCUGCAAUUAUACUGAAGAGAUGAAUAGAUGAUCAUUUCUGUACACUAAGAAUAAAUACUUCGUGUAUUGUUUCAGAGAUCCUUGUUUAAUUCCUACAAGAAGGUAACACCUCCCGAAACGAAAGCUUAUUUUUAUAAGCUAGAGUUAGAGGAGGGGAUAAGGUAUCUGCGCAAUGCUAGACGGUGUUGUCGUAAAAGUACAGGUUCCAGCCCCGGCGCCGGGGAGGAAGUUACGAAUCAAAUCUACGCUAACAUCGUUAGGUUGAUUUUUUAGGCACUUUAUAUAAAUAUAUACAUACAUAUAAAACGUCUGAAUAAUAGUCAACGAUUUUUCCCACGAGGGCGCUGGAUCGUUACAAGUAACAAUUUAAAUUGCUUAAUUUUUUGAGGGAUGUAUAAGUACCUGCAAGCCACGUUCAACUAGUUUACCUUAGCCAAAAUUUAUUAUAUUUUAACGGCCGUUUGUGUUUAACAUCGCAGACUCUGAUGUAACUACUCUACCGUUGUCAAAUCUGAAAUAUUUACAAAUUUAGACCGUUCAGUGCUGUUUAAUAUUUGGAAUUCUUAUUGACGCAAUCAUUCUUGAAACAUCAUAAUUUUCGAUACCGUUAAAGCUUUACAAUUGUGCUAGUUCAUAUCGCACAUUAAUAUUUUUUUUUUAUUUAAAGCAUGUUGUAAUUAGUCAUAUGGUCCGAGACCACAAUUAUUUCAUAGUGCAUUUCUUUUAGAUAAUAAAUGAAAAUUAAAAAAAUCCCACCUGCGCUUUCUCAAUGAAAUUUUUACAGUGUGUUGUACUACUUUUGGGACAAAUUAUAUCAAAAUUAUAGAAAACUUCAUCGGCUCUAACUCAAAAUAUGGACAAUUUUUGUUUAGGGCGUCUUGAAAUCUUUUGACAGCUUCCGAAGUGCUAAUUUUCAACCUUUUUCAGCUGGACCAGAUCACUACUUUCCUUUAAAAUUCUGAACCCAUUUUUUUUUACAGUGUAAUUUCACCCCUGUCUUGCAAUUUGAGGCAUUAAACAUGGAGAAAUAAAUUUGGAAGGGGUAUAUGAAAAUUAAUGGCAAGUAACCCACUGUCAACACUAGGGACUAUAUUUGUGAACAACGAGGGGAACAACGAGGGAAGACAAUUGCGAGGGGAACAACGAGGGAAGACAAUUGUGGUCUCGGACCAUAUAAACUAUUUCGUGUUUAACACAUGUUUAGAAUUGUGCAAGCGUCUUACCUGAUGUUCGGUUUGACUUUUUUAUUGUAUAAAUUUCAAGAUUUUUACAGCUUAAUCUAAGUAGAUCGACUGAUAAAUGAUUCAUUCAACAUCACAAUCAUAUAUACCGAUGAAGGGUUUCUGUUAUCCGAAAUAUUUAUAAAUAAUUACAUUCAUAGUUCCUUUUUAUGUUAAUGGUGUUGUUGUGUACACUUUUUAGGCGUUUAUAUAUAUAUAUUUGUUUUACAAGCACAUGUAUAAAAAUUGCGGUUUUUAUCCAACGCAAUCUUAUGUUUGAACGUUGUUUUCAAUUUAUACUUUUUUAUAUUUUUACGUUAGGGCUUGUAUUCUAUUUUCCCUCUGGUUUAUUUCAUCAUUUUUGUAAUCUGUUCAUCCUAAUGACUCUUUAAAAUUCAAGAGUCUAUCCUAAAUUGAGAUAAAUUGUACGGCGUUCCAAAUACUGUUUUAAUCCAUAACACCAGUAAAAAAGCAUUAAUUUGUUGAUAUCAGGAUAUGGUGUACCAAUUUUUGCACCUCAUGUUUGUGGUAUAACAUAUUUGCUCCAAGUUUACUGUUUUCUGUUUGGUAUUAAAUUGAUAUUAAGAUCCAUUUUCUUACAUCUUGUGCUCAAUUAAUUUGACAAUCGUCAAUGGCAGUCAGUAGGAUUUAAGAACAUCAAUUGUUCGACCUGCUAGUCACAGCCUUUGUGUUAAUUACUCUACUGUUGUCAAAUUUGAAAUAUUAUACCAGCUUAGAACUGUAAAUGCUGUGUAUUGGGAAUGUAUUUCCAUGCAGUUGUUGUAACAUCUUAACUGUUGUAACCUGUGGCUAUUAUUCGGUCAUUUAAUAUAUAUAUAAUAAUAAGCAAGUCUUAAUUGAAAAGAACGUUCAAACAUAUGAAUGCAUUGGAUAAAAAACUGCAAUUUUUAUACGUGUGCAUGCAAACCAAAUUUCGUGGUAGAGAGGUCUAAAUACAGCACAGACAACAUUUUUCAAAAGACCAAAUAUAAAUAAGGAAAAAAGAACAUUUUAACAAAACUCAUUUGACUAGCAGGUCGAACAAUUGAUUUUCUUAAACCCUGCCGAUUGUCAUUGGUGAUUGCCAAAUAAAACUAGCACCAGAUGUAACACAAUGGAUCUUAUUAUUAAUUUAAUAUCAGAAAACAAUUAAUUUGUGGAAAAGAUGGUAUACCACAAACAUGAGGUGUAUUUAUUUUGUACACCAUACCCGGAUUUUGACAAUUAAUGUCUCUUCAGCAUGUUCAGUGAUGUUAGGAAUCAAAACAGUAUUUGGAUGGCCAUAGUUUAUCUCAAUUAAGGAUAUCUCAAUUAACAUGAUUAAGGAUAGACUUAAAUUUUGUAAAGUGGAAAAAGGAUAAACAGGAAGGCAAAUACAAUACAAGCCCAAAUGAAAAAGUAUAAACAAGUCUAAAUUGAAAACAAUAGUCAAAUAAAUAGUGGUUAUAUAUUGUACUUUUAGUCAAGACAGUUAAAUUUAUGAUCCUUUGAAUCGCUUAUUUACAACUACAAUCAAUGAACUUACUAUACAAUUUUUGACAAGAAUAUUCCCAAGAAUUGAUUUUGCUAAAAAUAUAUUAUUGAACAGACUUGCUAUUUGCUUUUACUUUUAUAAUCUUUAUUAUCUUAUAUCAUGUAUACAUUUACUAGAUGUUCCAGAUUCUAAAACUUUUGAUUUGACUUUGAUGAUACUAUUACUGAGGAAUUUGAUUCCAAUAACCCCUCCUCUUUGUGGAUUUGACUGUCUACCUUCUGCAAUGGAAACCACACCAGCUGCAGACUUAGCAAGGAUCAAACACUACAGAAAUUACCUGGCUCAUCUGGAUGAUGGCAAACUAGACACAGGGUUCUUCACUACAGCUUGGAAAGAUAUAACUAAUGUAUGUAUAUAUAUAUAUUCUGUAUUUAUACUUAAGAGAUUAGUAGUUGUUAUUUCUGUACCUUAUUUUGUGUAUAGAAGGUUUGUAAGGUGUACAUGCCCAACUGGCAAGUUUCUUCUGACCUUGUCCUUAUUUUCAUGUUAAGUGGUUAUAGUUGAGUUUUUCUGUUUUAACUUGUUUUUCUAGUGCUAUAUAUGCAAUAGUUCUACUUUUUUAGCUCACCUGUCCCGAAGGGACAAGUGAGCUUAUGCCAUCACUUGGCGUCCGUCGUCGUCCGUCGUCUGUCGUCUGUCGUCGUCUGUCGUCGUCGUAAACUAUUUCAAGAAUCUUCUCCUCUGAAACUACUGGGCCAAAUACUUUCAAACUUUAAACUGAAUGUUCCUUAGGGUAUCUAAUUUUAUAAAUUGUUCCGAAGUUUUUGAUCUAUCAACAAACAUGGUCGCCAUUGCUAAAAAUAGAACAUAGGGGUCAAAUGCAGUUUUUGGCUUAUAACUCAAAAACCAAAGCAUUUAGAGCAAAUCUGACGAGGGUAAUAUUGUUUAUCAGGUCAAGAUCUAUCUGCCCUGAAAUUUUCAGAUGAAUCAGACAACCCGUUGUUGGGUUGCUGCCCCUGAAUUGGUAAUUUUAAGGAAAUUUUGGCUGUUUUUUGGUUAUUAUCUUGAAUAUUAUUAUAGAUAGAGAUAAACUGUAAACAGCAAUAAUGUUCAGCAAAGUAAGAUUUACAAAUAAGUCAACAUGACGGAAAUGGUCAGUUGACCCCUUUAGGAGUUAUUGCCCUUUAUAGUCAAUUUUUAAUCAUUUUUCGUAAAUCUUAGUAAUCUUUUACAAAAAUCUUCUUCCUCUGAAAACUACUGGGCCAAAUACUUCCAAACUUUAACUGAAUGUUCCUUAGGGUAUCUAGUUUGUAAAUUGUAUCCGAAGUUGUGAUCUAUCAACAAAACAUGGUCCGCCAUUGCUAAAAAUAGAACAUAGGGGUCAAAAUGCAGUUUUUGGCUUAUAACUCAAAAACCAAAAGCAUUUAGAGCAAAUCUGACAUGGAUAAUAUUGUUUAUCAGGUCAAGAUCUAUCUGCCCUGAAAAUUUUCAGAUGAAUCAGACAACCUGUUGUUGGGUUACUGCCCCUGAAUUGGUAAUUUUAAAGAAAUUUUGCUUUUUUUGGUUAUUAUCUUGAAUAUUAUUAUAGAUAGAUAUAAACUGUAAACAGCAAUAAUGUUCAGCAAAGUAAGAUUUACUAAUAAGUCAACAUGACGGAAAAUGGUCAGUUGACCCCUUUAGGAGUUUAUUGCCCUUUAUAGUCAAUUUUUAACCAUUUUUCGUAAAUCUUAGUAAUCUUUUACAAAAAUCUUCUCCUCUGAAACUACUGGGCCAAAUACUUCCAAACUUUAACUGAAUGUUCCUUAGGGUAUCUAGUUUGUAAAUUGUAUCCGAAGUUAUGAUCUAUCAACAAACAUGGUCGCCAUUGCUAAAAAUAGAACAUAGGGGUCAAAUUGCAGUUUUGGCUUAUAACUCAAAAACCAAAGCAUUUAGAGCAAAUCUGCCGUUGGGUAAUAUUGUUUAUCAGGUCAAGAUCUAUCUGCCCUGAAAUUUUCAGAUGAAUCAGACAACGUGUUGUUGGGUUGCUGCCCCUGAAUUGAUAAUUUUAAGGAAAUUUUGCUGUUUUUGUUUAUUAUCUUGAAUAUAAUUAUAGAUAGAAAUAAACUGUAAACAGCAAUAAUGUUCAGCAAAGUAAGAUCUUCAAUUAAGUCAAUUUGACCAAAAUUGUCAAUUGACCCCUUAAGGAGUUAUUGCCCUUUAAAGACUUUUUUCACAAUUUGUUCAUCAUGUUGACUUACUUAAAAAAUCUUCUCCUUUGAAACUGCUGUAUCAAUUUCAGCCAAACUUAGGCUAAAUGAGUUUCAGAGUAUCUAGUAUAAAUUUUAUAUUUUAUUUCCUUGUAUGUCAAGAAACAUAGCUCCUAUGGCUAAAAUAGAACAUAGGAGAAAAUGAUUAUUUUUUUGGCUUUUGAAGAAAAUAGGACGAUCCAAAAAACAUUUAAAUAAAUUGAAAAGCCAAAAUAAUCAUUGAUGAGAGAUUUAACCAAAAGAAUUAAGGUGAGCGAUUCAGGCUCUUGAGAGCCUCUUGUUGUGUAUGGAAUGAUUGUAUGAUGUACAUGUCCAACUAGCAUGUGUCAUCAGACCUUGACCUCACAGUUAUACAGACUUUUUUCUGAAUGCCUUCAGAUAUUGGGUUGAUUUUUUGUAUGUGAGUUAACAAUGAUGAGUUACAGAUCAAGUUCAAGUUUCGUUUUGCUCUGCUCAUGUUUGCUGAAGUUAAGGUUUUUAGACUUCAAUAAAUUGAUGAAAAUCACAGUUAUAUGGACUUUUUUUAAAACCCUUUCAGAUAUUGGACUGAUUUGUGGUAUGUGAGUUAAACAUGAUUAGUUACAGAUCAAGUUUUAGUUUUGUUUUGCUCUGCUCUGCUAAUUUUUGGUGAAAUUACUGGUUUUGACUUUGUUAAAUUGUUGAAAAUAACAGUUAUAUGGAUUUUUUUCCAAAACGCCUUCAGAUAUAUAUUGGGCUGAUUUUUGGUAUGCAAGUUAACCAUGAUGAGUUACAGAUCAAGUUUAAAUUUCGUUCCCUCCACUGAUUUUUAUCAACAUUAAGAGUUUAAGACUUUGAAACUUGUUGAAAGUCACAAGUACAGUUAUACAGACUUUUUUCUAUACACCUUCAGAUUUUGAGCUCAUUUUUGAUAUGUAAGACUACCAUCAUGUUUGUGUCCACAUGUGUUGUUGAAAUUGCAGAUUUUUCGACUUGUUUGAGACAGGGUCAUUCCUGUCGUUCCGACACAUCUGGUCUUGUAUUAAAAUUACAAUCACUUUGAAUUGUGCCAAGUAUUUCAAUGAAUGGUGUAUAAGUAUGAUUAUCAAUCCAUAGUUUUUAACCAAGGUGAUUGCAGUCUAUCAGAUUUGUUUGAACUGUUAGCUAGAUAAUUGCCAUGAUCAUUGGUUAUUAUUAAGACUAAGUAUAACAAGACUAUUUUUUGAACCUGCAAUAUUUUUUCAAGUUACCAAGAAUGAUAAAAGGAGAAUAACUCUUAAAUAACUCAAAAUUCACAUUCCAUAAUUUACAGGCCAUAGAUAGAUUAGGUGGGCAGCAAAUGAAGCAGGAGUGUGAUCAUCUGAACACCAAACCAUUAGAUCAAACCAACCACGAAAUAAUGAUGGACAUCAAACAUUCCAAUAAUGAAAUCCGGGAACUGAAAGAAUCACUUGAAAGUCUGAAGCUGUCACAUAUUGAAAUGAUAAAAUCUCAUGAAUUACUACAAGAAAACCAUGCCGAAGUAACGAAAUCCCAUAUAUUGUUACAGGAAGACCAUACAAAAGUAAAGAAAUCCCAUGAAUUACUACAAGAACACUAUG